rnacentral:rRNA from 1 species
AAUAUUCCGCAAUGGGGGCAACCCUGACGCAGCGACCCAGCGUGAGUGAUGACGGUCUUCGGAUCGUAAAACUUUGUCCUCAGGUAAGAAACAAAUGACGGUUCCUGAGGAGGACGCGCCGCCUCACUACGUGCCAGCAGCCGCGGUAAUACGUAGGGGGCGAGCGUUGUCCGGAAUUAUUGCGCGGCAAGGGUGCGGAGGCGGUCCUUUAAGUAAGAAGUGAAAGAACACAGCUUAACUGUGGGAUUGCAGUGGAAACUGGGGGACUUGAGGAUCGGAGAGGGUAGUGGAAUUCCCGGUGUAGCGGAGAAAUGAGUAGAUAACGGGAGGAACACCAGUGGCGAAGGAGACUACCUGGACGAAAACUGACGCUGAGGCACGAAAGCUAGGGUAGCAAACA